rnacentral:rRNA from 1 species
UACGAAGGGGGCUAGCGUUGCUCGGAAUCACUGGGCGUAAAGCGCACGUAGGCGGACUCUUAAGUCGGUGGUGAAAUCCUGGAGCUCAACUCCAGAACUGCCUUCGAUACUGGGAGUCUCGAGUCCGGGAGAGGUGAGUGGAAUUCCUGGUGUAGCGGUGAAAUGCGCAGAUAUCAGGAAGAACACCCGUGGCGAAAGCGGCUCUCUGGAACGGUACUGACGCUGAGACGCGAAAGCGUGGGGAGCGAACAGG